AGAGUUUGAUCAUGGCUCAGAACGAACGCUGGCGGCGUGGAUAAGACAUGCAAGUCGAACGGGACUUUCCGUUGUAGCAAUACGAUGGAAAGUCUAGUGGCGAACGGGUGCUUAACACGUGGGCAACCUGCCAAGAAGUGGGGGGAUAGCUCGCCGAAAGGCGAAUUAAUACCGCAUGUGAUUAGAGAGGACAUCUUUUCAAAAUUAAAGUCGGGGCAACCUGACGCUUCUUGUGGGGCCCGCGGCCUAUCAGCUAGUUGGUGAGGUAACGGCUCACCAAGGCUUUGACGGGUAGCUGGUCUGAGAGGACGACCAGCCACACUGGGACUGAGACACGGCCCAGACACCUACGGGUGGCAGCAGUCGAGAAUUUUUGACAAUGGGGGAAACCCUGAUCGAGCGACGCCGCGUGGAGGAUGAAGGUCUUCGGAUUGUAAACUCCUGUCAUUGGGGAACAAGGUGCAUACGUUAACUGCGUGCGCAUUGAUAGUACCCGAAGAGGAAGAGACGGCUAACUCUGUGCCAGCAGCCGCGGUAAUACAGAGGUCUCAAGCGUUGUUCGGAUUCAUUGGGCGUAAAGGGUGCGUAGGCGGCGCGGUAAGUCGGGUGUGAAAUCUCGGAGCUUAACUCCGAAACUGCAUUCGAUACUGCCGUGCUUGAGGACUGGAGAGGAGACUGGAAUUUACGGUGUAGCGGUGAAAUGCGUAGAUAUCGUAAGGAAGACCAGUGGCGAAGGCGGGUCUCUGGACAGUUCCUGACGCUGAGGCACGAAGGUCAGGGGAGCAAACGGGAUUAGAUACCCUAGUAGUCC
rnacentral:rRNA from 1 species